UGCAGAAGGAUCAUUAGUGAAGAUUUGGGCAGCCCAUACGGACCCCAAAAAGUGUCCCUGGCCGCCUACACCCACUAUACAUCCACAAACCGGUGUGCACUGUUUUGGAGAAAGGUUCAGAGAAGUUUUGUGUGGCCUCUCGGGGGUCUUUUUUGGUUACAAACUGGAAUGGUUAGUAUGAACGUGGAACUUGGUUGGACGGUCACUGGCCAACAAACUAUACACAACUUUGGACAACGGAUCUCUGGGUUCUCCCAU
rnacentral:misc_RNA from 1 species